rnacentral:rRNA from 1 species
UACAGAGGUCUCGAGCGUUAGGCGGAAUCACUGGGCUUAAAGCGUGUGUAGGCGGAUCGUUAAGUACCUUGUGAAAUCCCACGGCUUAACCGUGGAACUGCUUGGUAUACUGGCGGUCUUGAGCCAGCUAGGGCUACCGGAACAAAUGGUGGAGCGGUGAAAUGCGUAGAUAUCAUUUGGAACGCCAAUGGUGAAAACAGGUAGCUGGGCUGUGCUGACGC